CAAUAGCGUAUAUUAAAGUUGUUGCAGUUAAAAAACUCGUAGUUGGAUUUCGGGGCAGCCUGGCUGGUCCGCCGCAAGGCGAGUACUGGUCAGCCGCCCUUCCUCUCGAAAGCCCCGACUGCUCUUCGUUGCAGUGGUCGGGUAGUUCGGGACGUUUACUUUGAAAAAAUUAGAGUGUUCAAGGCAGGCCUACGCCUGAAUACAUUAGCAUGGAAUAAUGGAAGAGGACCUCGGUCCUAUUUUGUUGGUUUCCAGGGCCGAAGUAAUGAUUAAGAGGGACAGUUGGGGGCAUUCGUAUUUAAUUGUCAGAGGUGAAAUUCUCGGAUUUAUGAAAGACGAACAACUGCGAAAGCAUUUGCCAAGGAUGUUUUCAUUAA
rnacentral:rRNA from 1 species